GCUGGGCGUGGUAGCGGGCACCUGUAGUCCCAGCUACUCAGGGGACUGAGGCAGGAGAAUGGCUUGAACUCGGGAGGCAGAGGAAGCAGUGAGCCGAGAUUGUGCCACUGCACUCCAGCCUGGGUGACAGAGUGGGACUCCGUCUCAAAAAAAAAAAAAAAGUUUGUUACUUUUUUUUUUUUGAGACGGAGUUUCACUUUUGUCACCCAGGCUGGAGUGCAAUGGGGCGAUCUCGGCUCACUGCAACCUCUGCCUCCUGGGUUCAAGCGAUUCUCCUGCCUCA
rnacentral:SRP_RNA from 1 species